rnacentral:rRNA from 1 species
GGCAUGCAAGUCGAGCGAUCACCAGCAAUGGUGGGAGCGGCGAACGGCGUAGUAAUGUGUAGGAACGUACCCUCUGGUCGGGGAUAGCUACGGGAAACUGUAGGUAAUACCCGAUGAACUCUGCGGGGCAAAGGUGUGAUUCCGCCGGAGGAGCGGCCUACAUGAUAUUAGCUUGUUGGUGGGGUAAUUGCUUACCAAGGCGAUGAUGUCUAGGGGGUGUGAGAGCAUGGCCCCCACGACCGGAACUGAGAUACUGUCCGGACACCUACGGGUGGCUGCAGUCGAGAAUCUUCCGCAAUGGACGAAAGUCUGACGGAGCGAUGCCGCGUGCGGGAUGAAGGCCCUUGGGUUGUAAACCGCUGUCAGGGGGGAUGAAAUCUCCGAAGGUUCUCCUUCGGAGUUGACAGAGCCCCAGAGGAAGCACGGGCUAAGUAUGUGCCAGCAGCCGCGGUAAUACAUACUGUGCGAACGUUAUUCGGAAUCACUGGGCUUAAAGGGUGCGUAGGCGGCGAUUCAAGUCAGAUGUGAAAUGCCUGAGCUCAACUGAGGCAUUGCGUUUGAAACUGGGUUGCUUGAGUGUCCCAGGGGUGUGCGGAACUGCUAGUGGAGCGGUGAAAUGUAUUGAUAUUGGCAGGAAC